UCUCUCACCUCUUUUUAUGUUCUCCUCUCUAUAUCCCUUACUGUCAUGAGGUUCUCACCUCAUUCCCGACAAUUUUUUUUUCCUGGUAGCAUGGAAAGUGAAAGAAACUGGAGGUAGGAAGCCGAGGCUCUUGUGUCUCAUCUAUGGCGGUGUCUCCCCGGAGUGGAAUCUAGGGUGCGGCGGAAGCCAUAGGCUUGAAAUAAGGGGAAGUGAAAGGCGGAGGACUUUUGAGUUUUAUUGGCCGAGAAGCUAGAGCACGGUGUCUCUCUAUGGAUUUGUUGACGAUGUGUCGGAUGAUAAAGAUUUGACUCAAUUUAUUACUCAAUCUUUAGAUGGCAAUUGUUCGAGUGGAGACUUGGUAGAUAAAAUAGUGUCUUUCUAUAAAGCAGCCAAGGACUCGGAAGAGAGGCUGCAGGAUGGGGCUAAUCAGAAGCCUCGGUACAGUUUAAGGUCUUUUUAUCGUGCAAUAGAAAAUACUAACAAAUCAAACAGAAAAUUUGGAUUUUAGAAAGCAAUUUAUGGUGGAUUUUCUAUGUUUUUUCUCACUUUGUUAGAUGCGCCGAGUGCUAAGUUAAUGAACCAAAUGAUUUUGUCAAAAUUAUUAGGAGGAAAGAUACCUCCAUAAAUACCUUUUUGAUGAAUACUUGAUGGCUAGGGGAAGCACAAGCUCUGGUGAUUUCUUGGAGAACUAUAUUUUAACUAGAAGUGUGAGGGAGCAUCUCAGGAACCUGGCUCGUGCUGUUUUGAUUAAACGAUAUCCUGUUCUCUUACAGGGUCCCACCUCCAGUGGAAAGACGAGUCUUGUGCAAUAUCUUGCUACAAAAACCGGCCAUGAAUUAGAAAUAUAUCUAUUUUGGAGGAAAUAUAUCUUGUUCUGAGCAGAUGUUGGGCCUAUAAGCCGUGGAUUCUGGACUAGGUUGUCAUAUUAUGAUAUAAGUGUUAAAAGCCAAAUUAGAAAUAAAUGUCUUCUAACUGCGGAUCCUAGAUUUUGUUUGUUAUAUAGUAAACUUUUUGUUGGUCUAUAAGCUGUAUUGGAAGCUUACUUUGUCAGUCAACCUGGCAUAUAUUGCUAAAUUUCACUACAACAUAGGGAAUAUCUCUGAUAAGAGUGAUUUUCCGAGGUCACCCAAUAUGAUGUUUGGUGCUUGUCUAACUUUGUCAUGAUCAUUACUUGUUCUCUGUGUCUGAUCAUGUUUGAUGUGUAUGCUAGGACAAGCUGGCUUUUACUCUGCGAGGUGCAUCUAAGAUGAAUACCUUUUUGUGUGUAUACUGGUAGCCGUGUUUGUUGAAACAAUUGCAUUCUUAUGGGAUGCAUUUACAUCAUGAUUUCAACUUCUUUGCAUUGUUGAAUGUUGUUGGACAUGCUCAUCAUUGCCAAUUGGAAAUUUGAAAUUAUGCAAAUUUUGCUGUCAUGCUUAAAUGAUUAAGCCAAAUAACAUGCCUCAGAUUCUUGGUGCAGGUCUACCUUAAGUUAUUUCAGAUUUGUUCCACCUCCGUUUGAAUGGAUAGUGAUUAAAGGAUCAGUUUCCGAGUUGCCAGCUAAGACAUCAUCUUGGGUGAAUGCAGAUAAUCAUGCCGGAUUGCAUUGCUUAGUGCUUAAUUUCAAACUAAUCUUUCUUGCUUUUGUUAGAUAUAUCUUUACCAUCUUUAUUAUUUUCACUAUACACAACACCUUGAUCAUUUUUAAUACAUUCCCUAUUCUUUCUAGCUCCAUGGUGGCCCGAUCUGGCUUCCUUGUAUAUUCACAAUAUACUUGGCUUGUGCUCCCUUUUGGAGCCUUCAGGUUCUGUCUUUGUUAUUCACUUAUAUAGAAAAGAUGGGUUUAGAAUAGCAGUGCAAUAAAUACUGUGCAAUUUCAUCACCUGUACUAGUUUGUGACAUAUGUAUUGAGCGACUGCCUAAGGCGUGCUCAAGCACUGACCUUGCUUGUGUGAGUAUUUACUGCUUUGCAGGGUUUGGGGCCUUCUAUUUUCUGUAUCAUGCUUUUCCUUGGAGUUGUUGUGCAGCUGAUUUCUUGUUUAACUUUUAAACUUUUAAAGACAUCGUGGUUGGAAUAUGAGCUUAAUUCUGUGUCUA